rnacentral:rRNA from 1 species
UACGUAGGGUGCAAGCGUUGUCCGGAAUUAUUGGGCGUAAAGAGCUCGUAGGCGGUCUGUUGCGUCGGCUGUGAAAACCCGGGGCUCAACUCCGGGCCUGCAGCCGAUACGGGCAGACUAGAGUUCGGCAGGGGAGACUGGAAUUCCUGGUGUAGCGGUGAAAUGCGCAGAUAUCAGGAGGAACACCGGUGGCGAAGGCGGGUCUCUGGGCCGAUACUGACGCUGAGGAGCGAAAGCAUGGGGAGCGAACAGG